ACGUUAGCUCCUUGACAUUAGUUUUGGCACAGGUCCUGGGUGCAUUGGUCCUCCUCCUUGACAUUGGGAUUGAUAAACUACAUCCAAGCACCUCCUUGAGAAACGCAGUUUAGAUGAAGAUGGCCAAAUCAACUCUCGCUUUCCUGUGCAUUGCACUUGUCUUCACCGAAGCUGUCCUCCAAGUUGCGGGUAGUCCGCUGAUGGUUGCGGAUGAAGCAGGAGUCGCCCCACCCUCAGCCACUGAGGUAUCCGGGGGAAAAUUGGUUUCAGGUGAAGGCAUUCCACUUCAGAAGAUAGGAAAAGAAGUUGAAGGGAACCUUGGAGAAUCUAUUGUUGUGAACGGAAAAACAUACAAGCUCAUUAUAGUGUGCAGCGGUUGGUUCACUCCUGAUUUUAAAUGCAAAUUGGUAGCGGUGAUUGAAUGAUCUGGAGAUGCAGUUCCCUACGUCGCUUCAGCAACGCAACGCAUUUUGAUAUGCAAUCAAGGAUAAAAUAAGAUAUAUUAAUUCUUAUUUCUAAAAUACACAUUUCAAUAAACCAUUAAUCGGGUGUUAGACAAGUAUGUUUAGAAAAAUGUAUCAAUAUUCGAAUUCAUGGCGU
rnacentral:lncRNA from 1 species